CCCGUUCACUCAGUAAUCCUCGAUGACUUAGGGAGUUUAUAUGGAGUUGUAGCUGGCCUUUUAUAUAUAAAGGCAUGUGCACACUCUGUUCACUCUCUCUCUUUACCCCUGUGCAUUUAUUGUAGGCCUUGUAUGUGAAGAUAGACUUGAGUGUCUGUUGGAUACAUCCUGGCUUAUGUUUUUAUUAUCAACUCUUAUAAAAGUAUCAGAAUGUCAUAUUAUGAUGUUUAAUACACAUCUUUAUACAACUUUCAGCAACGGAUCUCUUGGCUCUCGCAUCGAUGAAGAACGCAGCGAAAUGCGAUAAGUAAUGUGAAUUGCAGAAUUCAGUGAAUCAUCGAAUCUUUGAACGCACCUUGCGCUCCUUGGUAUUCCGAGGAGCAUGCCUGUUUGAGUGUCAUGAUAUUCUCAACCUGUAACAAAUUUGUUUUUGUUCAAUGGUUGGAUUUGGAGGGUUUUGUCAGUUGCAUAUGAAUUGACUCCUCUUAAAUGCAUUAGCUUGAUUUUGUUAUAGAUCAGCUCUUGGUGUGAUAAUAAAAGUGUCUACACCAUAUAAGAGUUGUGAAAUAUAUAUGGGCAAGCUUCUAACAUAAUAAUAGUCUUCUUAUAGAGGACAUUUAUUUUGAUCACUCUGACCUCAAAUCAGGUAGGACUACCCGCUGAACUUAAGCAUAUCAAAAGGCGGGAGGAAA
rnacentral:rRNA from 1 species